rnacentral:rRNA from 1 species
AUUGAACGCUGGCGGCACGCCUUACACAUGCAAGUCGAACGGGAACGCGGGGCAACCUGGCGACGAGUGGCGAACGGGUGAGUAAUGCAUCGGAACGUGCCCAGUAGUGGGGGAUAGCCCGGCGAAAGCCGGAUUAAUACCGCAUACGACCUACGGGUGAAAGGGGGGGAUCGCAAGACCUCUCGCUAUUGGAGCGGCCGAUGUCAGAUUAGGUAGUUGGUGGGGUAAGGCCUACCAAGCCGACGAUCUGUAGCUGGUCUGAGAGGACGACCAGCCACACUGGGACUGAGACACGGCCCAGACUCCUACGGGAGGCAGCAGUGGGGAAUUUUGGACAAUGGGCGCAAGCCUGAUCCAGCCAUGUCGCGUGCGGGAAGAAGGCCUUCGGGUUGUAAACCGCUUUUGUCAGGGAAGAAAUCUUCUGAGUUAAUACCUCGGGAGGAUGACGGUACCUGAAGAAUAAGCACCGGCUAACUACGUGCCAGCCGCCGCCGUAAUAC